UACGGAGGGGGCGAGCGUUGUUCGGAGUUACUGGGCGUAAAGCGCACGUAGGCGGUGCGGUAAGUCAGGGGUUAAAGGCUGCAGCUCAACUGCAGUAAGGCCUUUGAUACUAUCGUGCUAGAGUGUCAGAGAGGAUGGCGGAAUUCCCGGUGUAGCGGUGAAAUGCGUAGAGAUCGGGAGGAAGGUCGGUGGCGAAGGCGGCCUCCUGGCCUUAACCUGACGCUGGGGAGCGAAAGCUAGGGGAGCAAACGGG
rnacentral:rRNA from 1 species